GGAUGAACGCUAGCGGGAGGCCUAACACAUGCAAGCCGAGCGGUAUUGUUUCUUCGGAAAUGAGAGAGCGGCGUACGGGUGCGGAACACGUGUGCAACCUGCCUUUAUCUGGGGGAUAGCCUUUCGAAAGGAAGAUUAAUACCCCAUAAUAUAUUGAAUGGCAUCAUUCGAUAUUGAAAACUCCGGUGGAUAGAGAUGGGCACGCGCAAGAUUAGAUAGUUGGUGAGGUAACGGCUCACCAAGUCUACGAUCUUUAGGGGGCCUGAGAGGGUGAUCCCCCACACUGGUACUGAGACACGGACCAGACUCCUACGGGAGGCAGCAGUGAGGAAUAUUGGACAAUGGGUGAGAGCCUGAUCCAGCCAUCCCGCGUGAAGGACGACGGCCCUAUGGGUUGUAAACUUCUUUUGUAUAGGGAUAAACCUACUCUCGUGAGAGUAGCUGAAGGUACUAUACGAAUAAGCACCGGCUAACUCCGU
rnacentral:rRNA from 1 species